AGGGGUUAGGUAAGAGUCCAAUUAUGUAACCCUGCAUUCUUCAGAGGUAGCCAUUAUGGAAGGAAAUAUGGGUAAGAUCGGAUG